rnacentral:rRNA from 1 species
AACGUUAACAGAUUUAUAACACUAACCGCAAGAAGAUAGGCUUGGAAUCAGCCACACUAUAAUGAAAGCGUAAAAGCUCACUUGCCGAGUUAUGAGUCCUUACAGAUGUUCGGGAUUACAAAACUGCCGAAGCAAGCAUUUAAAUACAUA